AUGGGCCAAUUGUGGACGAUAAGAAUAUGGGUUUUCUGCAAUUUACUGUUCCUGCUGACUCUUCCUGGACAGUUUCGAGGAGAUUCCAUUUCACAGACAACAGCUAAUAUCAAAGUGAAUGAGGGAGAUGAUGUCCAAUUGUUCUGUAAUUACACCACAACAGACAGUAAUCCUUAUUUGUUCUGGUACCGUCAGAGCCCCAGAGGAUCCGUGGAGUAUCUGCUACAGAGAAGCAAAUAUGCUGGGGGCACCCAGAAAUUUCCAGGAGCCCGGCAGUCCUCGGAGUUGGAUCAUGUGAAUCGUACUAUCCGACUGAUUGUACGUAGGACAGAACUGGUGGACUCCGCAGUGUAUUACUGCGCUCUGAGACCCACUGCGACUCUGCACUGGGCAGAACCUCUACAAAAACUAUCAGAGCGACACUGA